rnacentral:rRNA from 1 species
CAAGUAAAGUGGCGUACGGGUGAGUAACACGUGGAUGAUCUGCCUUUUAGUGGGGAAUACCGUUGGGAAACCGACGACAAUACCGCAUAAUCCCGAGAGGGGAAAGCCGCAAGGCGCUGAAAGAGGAGUCCGCGGUCGAUUAGGUAGUUGGCAGGGUAAAAGCCUACCAAGCCUGUGAUCGAUAGCCGGCCUGAGAGGGCACACGGCCACACUGGCACUGAAACACGGGCCAG